AAGAAAAAGCAGAAAAAUGCUUCGUCUCUUUUCUUGAGAAAAGGUGUUGAGAUUUUUUGGUCUCCGCUUUUUUUUUUUUCUCUCAGUUCCUCCCCCUCACACUUGAUUUUGAGAAAAAGUGAAAGAUG
rnacentral:ribozyme from 13 species